rnacentral:rRNA from 2 species
UACGGGAGGCAGCAGUAGGGAAUCUUCCACAAUGGACGAAAGUCUGAUGGAGCAAUGCCGCGUGAGUGAAGAAGGGUUUCGGCUCGUAAAACUCUGUUGUUAAAGAAGAACACCUUUGAGAGUAACUGUUCAAGGGUUGACGGUAUUUAACCAGAAAGCCACGGCUAACUACGUGCCAGCAGCCGCGGUAAUACGUAGGUGGCAAGCGUUGUCCGGAUUUAUUGGGCGUAAAGCGAGCGCAGGCGGUUUUUUAAGUCUGAUGUGAAAGCCUUCGGCUUAACCGGAGAAGUGCAUCGGAAACUGGGAGACUUGAGUGCAGAAGAGGACAGUGGAACUCCAUGUGUAGCGGUGGAAUGCGUAGAUAUAUGG